rnacentral:rRNA from 1 species
GAUCAUUGAUGGGGGUAGAGCACUGAAUGUGCGCGGGGGCCACAAAGCCUACCAAACGCUAUCAAACUUCGAAUACCAUACAAUGCAGACCAUGGGAGUCAGUCCGCGAGAGAUAAGUUCCGCGGGCAAAAGGGGAACACCCCAGAUCAACCGCUAAGGUCCCCAAGUUCACGUUAAGUGGAGAAGGAUGUGGAAUUGCACAGACAACCAGGAUGUUGGCUCAGAAGCAGCCACACAUUUAAAGAGUGCGUAAUAGCUCACUGGUCGAGUGAUUGUGCGCCGAAGAUGUCCGGGGCUAAACGUGACACCGAAGCGAUGGGUGCAUCUGAAAGGAUGCGCGGUAGAGGAGCAAUGUGCAGAGGCAGAAGCCGUAUCGAGAGGCACGGUGGACACUGCACAAGAGAGAAUGCCGGUAUGAGUAGCGAGAGGCAUGCGAGAAACAUGCCCGUCGAAAGCCCAAGGUUUCCUGGGGAAGGUUCAUCCGCCCAGGGUAAGUCGGGGCCUAAGCCGAGGACGGAAGUCGUAGGCGAUGGACAGCAGGUGUAGAUUCCUGCACUACCGAUGGAAUGAAGCAGUGACACAGAAGGAUAACUCGAGCAGGGUGAUGGUCAACCCUGUGCAAGCAUCAAGGUUGGGUUGUAGUGAAGUACGCAAUCCUAUAAGCUGAGAUGUGAUGCGGACCGAAAUUUCAGUAGGGAAGCGAGUGAGUUCACGCUGGCGAGAAAAGCUGCUAGUACAUCCAAAGGUACCCGUACCGGAAACCGACGCAGGUGGGCGAGGAGAGAAUCCUGAGACGAACGGGAGAACCCUUGUUAAGGAACUCGGCAAAAUGACCCCGUAACUUCGGGAGAAGGGGUGCCUCGAAAGAGGCCGCAGAGAAUAGUCACAAGCGACUGUUUAGCAAAAACACAGGUAUCUGCGAAAGCGAGAGCUGACGUAUAGGUGCUGACACCUGCCCGGUGCUGGAAGGUUAAGGGAACAUGUUAGAGCAAUCGAAGCAUCGAACCGAAGCCCCAGUAAACGGCGGCCGUAACUAUAACGGUCCUAAGGUAGCGAAAUUCCUUGUCGGGUAAGUUCCGACCCGCACGAAUGGUGUAACGACUUGUGAGCUGUCUCAACAGGGGGCCCGGUGAAAUUGAAGUAUGGGUGAAGAUGCCCAUUACCCGCGACUGGACGGAAAGACCCCGUAGAGCUUUACUGCAGCCUGAUAUUGAGUUUCGGUAACUGAUGCACAGGAUAGGUGGGAGUCUGAGAGACAUGGGUUUCGGCUCAUGUGGAGACGAUGUUGGGAUACCACUCUUCGGUUACUGAAAUUCUAACAUAGCUCUGUGAAACCAGAGGAUGGACAGUGUCAGGUGGACAGUUUGACUGGGGCGGUCGCCUCCGAAAGAGUAACGGAGGCGCCCAAAGGUACCCUCAGAAUGGAUGGAAACCAUUCGAAGAGCGCAAAGGCAGAAGGGUGCCUGACUGCGAGAUUGACAAAUCGAGCAGAGACGAAAGUCGGGCUUAGUGAUCCGGCGGUAUUGAGUGGAAAAGCCGUCGCUUAACGGAUAAAAGCUACCUCGGGGAUAACAGGCUGAUCUCCC